rnacentral:tRNA from 1 species
GGGGUUGUAGCUCAGUGGCUGAGCACUCACCUCACAUGCGUGAGGCUCUGGGUUCGAUCCUCAGCACCACA